GAUGAACGCUAGCUACAGGCUUAACACAUGCAAGUCGAGGGGUAGCAGGGUAGCAAUACCGCUGACGACCGGCGCACGGGUGAGUAACACGUAUCCAACCUACCAUUCACACGGGGAUAGCCUUUCGAAAGAAAGAUUAAUACCCGAUAGUAUAGCGAGAGGGCAUCCUUUUGCUAUUAAAGAAUUUCGGUGUUUGAUGGGGAUGCGUUCCAUUAGAUUGUUGGUGAGGUAACGGCUCACCAAGUCUUCGAUGGAUAGGGGUUCUGAGAGGAAGGUCCCCCACAUUGGAACUGAGACACGGUCCAAACUCCUACGGGGGGCAGCAGUGAGGAAUAUUGGUCAAUGGACGAGAGUCUGAACCAGCCAAGUAGCGUGAAGGAUGAAGGCCCUAUGGGUCGUAAACUUCUUUUAUAGGGGAAUAAAGUGCGGAACGUGUUCCGCUUUGUAUGUACCCUACGAAUAAGGAUCGGCUAACUCCGUGCCAGCCGCCGCAGUAA
rnacentral:rRNA from 1 species